rfam:Aedes albopictus isolate Foshan contig15785, whole genome shotgun sequence.
CAAACGGUUCUUUUCAGGACCAUAGAAAAUUAUUUAACACCGCUUU